AAAGAGUGAAAUGUUCGGCACAUUUAACUUUAUAUAUAUAUCAAUAUAUUAUACGUACAAAGAUGGUAACAACUUAAUUAAUAUGAAGAUCUAACCUAAUUUAUUUUUUUGGCCUUCACGUUUAACAAUCUACUAUUAUAAAUACUAGAUCCUCUGUCCGCGCUACGCGCGGAUUAUAAAUUUUAAAUAUAUUAUUCAUAAUUAUUAUUAAUAUGUGAAUAUUUUUACUUUGUAUUAAAUUUAAUUUUAAUGUUUAAUAGUAUCUUUAGCAGUUUUCUAUUAUUUUUUUUACGUUUUUGUUUUCUAUAAAUUUAGAAAUUUUAAAAAAUUUGG
rnacentral:lncRNA from 1 species